CGGGAAAUAUUGCGCAAUGGGGGAAACCCUGACGCAGCGACGCCGUGUGAGGGAAGAAGGCUUUCGGGUCGUAAACCUCUGUCAGAAAGGAAGAACCUCCCAAGUCCGAAUAGGGCUUGGGACUGACGGUACUUUCAAAGGAAGCACCGGCUAACUCCGUGCCAGCAGCCGCGGUAAUACGGAGGGUGCAAGCGUUAAUCGGAAUCACUGGGCGUAAAGCGCGCGUAGGCCGCUUUGUGAGUCGGACGUGAAAGCCCUCGGCUCAACCGGGGAACUGCGUUCGAUACUGCGAGGCUUGAGUCCUGGAGAGGGUGGCGGAAUUCCGGGUGUAGGAGUGAAAUCCGUAGAUAUCCGGAGGAACACCGGUGGCGAAGGCGGCCACCUGGACAGGUACUGACGCUGAGGCGCGAAAGCGUGGGGAGCAAACAG
rnacentral:rRNA from 1 species